rnacentral:rRNA from 1 species
CGCGUAGGCGGUUAAAUAAGUCAGAUGUGAAAGCCUUGGGCUUAACCUGAGAACAGCAUUUGAUACUGUUUGACUAGAGGACGAGAGAGGAAAGUGGAAUUACGAGUGUAGAGGUGAAAUUCGUAGAUAUUCAUAAGAACACCAGUGGCGAAGGCGACUUUCUGGCUCGUAUCUGACGCUAAGGCGCGAAAGCGUGGGAGCAAACA